CGGGCUGUAGCGCAGUUGGUAGCGCGCCUGCUUUGGGAGCAGGAGGCCGUGAGUUCGAAUCUCACCAGCCCGA
rnacentral:tRNA from 1 species